AAAAGUGCUUACAGUGCAGGUAGCUUUUUGAGAUCUACUGCAAUGCGAGCACUUCUUAC
ensembl:miRNA ocu-mir-106a ocu-mir-106a